AUGCCAGUCGAGCGGUAGAGAGAAGCUUGCUUCUCUUGAGAGCGGCGGACGGGUGAGUAAUACCUAGGAAUCUGCCUGAUAGUGGGGGAUAACGUUCGGAAACGGACGCUAAUACCGCAUACGUCCUACGGGAGAAAGCAGGGGACCUUCGGGCCUUGCGCUAUCAGAUGAGCCUAGGUCGGAUUAGCUAGUUGGUGAGGUAAUGGCUCACCAAGGCUACGAUCCGUAACUGGUCUGAGAGGAUGAUCAGUCACACUGGAACUGAGACACGGUCCAGACUCCUACGGGAGGCMGCAGUGGGGAAUAUUGGACAAUGGGCGAAAGCCUGAUCCAGCCAUGCCGCGUGUGUGAAGAAGGUCUUCGGAUUGUAAAGCACUUUAAGUUGGGAGGAAGGGCAUUAACCUAAUACGUUAGUGUUUUGACGUUACCGACAGAAUAAGCACCGGCUAACUCUGUGCCAGCAGCCGCGGUAAUACAGAGGGUGCAAGCGUUAAUCGGAAUUACUGGGCGUAAAGCGCGCGUAGGUGGUUUGUUAAGUUGAAUGUGAAAUCCCCGG
rnacentral:rRNA from 1 species